UACGUAGGGUGCGAGCGUUAAUCGGAAUUACUGGGCGUAAAGCGUGCGCAGGCGGUUUUGUAAGCCAGAUGUGAAAUCCCCGGGCUCAACCUGGGAAUGGCAUUUGGGACUGCAAGGCUUGAGUGCGGCAGAGGAGACGUGGAAUUCCUGGUGUAGCAGUGAAAUGCGUAGAUAUCAGGAGGAAUACCGAUGGCGAAGGCAGGUCUCUGGGCUGACACUGACG
rnacentral:rRNA from 1 species